rnacentral:rRNA from 1 species
UAGAGUUUGAUCCUGGCUCCGAUGUACGCUAGCGGCAGGCCUAACACAUGCAAGUCGAGGGGUAUGGCAGCAAUGCCAGAGACCGGCGCACGGGUGCGUAACGCGUAUGCAAUCUACCUUUUACAGGGGAAUAGCCCAGAUAAAUUUGGAUUAAUGCCCCAUGGUAUUACGACUUGGCAUCAAGAUGUAAUUAAAGUUCCAACGGUAAAAGAUGAGCAUGCGUCCCAUUAGUUAGUUGGUAAGGUAACGGCUUACCGAGACCAUGAUGGGUAGGGGUCCUGAGAGGGAGAUCCCCCACACUGGUACUGAGACACGGACCAUACUCCUACCGGAGGCAUCAUUGAGGAAUAUUGGACAAUGGGCGUUAGCCUGAUCCACCCAUGCCGCGUGCAAGAAGACGGUCCUAUGGAUCGCAAACUGCUUUUGUACCGGAAGAAACACUCCUUCAUGAAGGAGCUUGACUGUACCGUAAGAAUAAUGAUCGGCUAACUCCAUGCCAGCAGCCGCUGUAAUACUGAGGAUCCAAGUGGUAUCCGGAAUCAUUGGGUUUAAAGGGUCCAUAAGCUGUUCUGUAAGUCAGUGGUGAAAUCUGGACGCUCAACGAUCAAACUGCCAUUGAUACUGCACGACUUGAAUUACUGGGAAGUAACUAGAAUAUGUAGUGUAGCGGAGAAAUGCUUAUAUAUUACAUGGAAUACCAAUUGCAAUAGCAGGUUACUACCAGUGGAUCGACGCUCAUGCACGAAAGCGUGGGCAUCGAACAGGAUUAAAUACCCUGGCUAGUCCCACGUCGUAUACGAUGAUACUAGCUGUUGUGGUUUACUUCAGUGCCUAAGCGAAAGUCAUCAGUAUCCUACAGGCGUAGUACGUCGCAGACAUGUAAGAUCAUAGAACUUGACG